rnacentral:rRNA from 1 species
UAAGACCUCGCGCUAUUGGAUGAGCCAAAGUCGGAUUAGCUAGUUGGUGGGGUAAUGGCCUACCAAGGCGACAAUCCGUAGCUGGUCUGAGAGGACGACCAGCCACACCGGAACUGAGACACGGUCCGGACUCCUACGGGAGGCAGCAGUGGGGAAUAUUGGACAAUGGGGGAAACCCUGAUCCAGCGACGCCGCGUGUGUGAAGAAGGCCUGCGGGUUGUAAAGCACUUUUAGUGGGGACAAAAAGCUACGGAUUAAUACUUCGUGGUCUUGAUUUAACCCAAAGAAAAAGCACCGGCUAACUCUGUGCCAGCAGCCGCGGUAAUACAGAGGGUGCGAGCGUUAAUCGGAAUUACUGGGCGUAAAGCGCGCGUAGACGGUUUUGUAAGUCAGAUGUGAAAUCCCUGGGCUCAACCUGGGAACU